AGGCUGCCUGUGUGCUACACAUACUGGUUGAAGAGCUCAAAUCCUGUGGAAUAAGAUGUGUGGGUGUGAUGACCAUUGGCUCCCCCAGCAGGCAUUAGUCCUUGCGCUUAUUGAAUUCUCUAAGUCAAGAGGCAUUUCCUUAGGAAGAUGGCUGUGUGCCCGGAGGAAAAUUUGUAUAUAGGAAGACACAAUGAGAAGGAACUUUCUACAAGUCAGGAAGAGAGGUCUCACCAGAAAAAAAAAAAACUUAGCACCUUGACUUUGGACUUCUGAUCCCAAGAACUAUGCAGCUGACCUGGCGUAUGAAGCUGUGGGAAGUACAACCACAGAUAAGAUGGAACUGCUGUAUGUGCUAAGAAAAUAAACAUUUUUUAU